AGCGAACGCUGUCGGCAGGCUUAACACAUGCAAGUCGAGCGCCCCGCAAGGGGAGCGGCAGACGGGAGAGUAACACGUGGGAACAUACCUUUUGGUUCGGAACAACUGAGGGAAACUUCAGCUAAUACCGGAUAAGCCCUUACGGGGAAAGAUUUAUCGCCGAAAGAUUGGCCCGCGUCUGAUUAGCUAGUUGGUGAGGUAACGGCUCACCAAGGCGACGAUCAGUAGCUGGUCUGAGAGGAUGAUCAGCCUCACUGGGACUGAGACACGGCCCAGACUCCUACGGGAGGCAGCAGUGGGGAAUAUGGGACAAUGGGGGCAACCCUGAUCCAGCCAGGCCGCGGGAGUGAUGAAGGCCUUAGGGUUGUAAAGCUCUUUUGCCCGGGAAGAUAAUGACGGUACCGGGAGAAUAAGCCCCGGCUAACUUCGU
rnacentral:rRNA from 1 species